CGGGGCACUCAACAUGUAGGAUGCAUCUGUGCUAGGAGGUGUCCAUUCCAGACUAAUUAUUACCCCAAGAUAUGUAAAUUUGAUUCCAACAGAGAAAACCUCUCAUCUUAAAGAGCUGGUCAACCAGAAACCAAAAAUCCCACUCUAGAGUAAAGAAUCGAACUGAAAAGAAUAUUACCUUAGUCUAUCAAUAUGGUCAGUCUAUAAACAAUUCAACAAAUAGGAAUGGAAUAAAGUUCAGCCUAGCAAAUCUUGCAUCAAAUGCUGCUGCUUUCACUAGCAGAAAGUGAGGGGCCUUCAGAUUUAACUAGAAGAGUGCUUUUGCUACUGCAAAAGCCCAAGAGGAUCCUGUGGCAGUAUCUCCAGCAAGGCAUGUGAAUGAGAUGCAGCAGCCAUAGGCAUGUUAAAUUGAAAGGGAUGAAGCUGUGGCAUUUGCAUGUUUUGGGUGUUAACUGGCCUAGGUUGUGACUGUAUUUGAAAAUAGGAAGAUUGGGUGCACGGGACAUGGUGCAUCCCAAAAUUAUAGGCAUCUGCUGGUGUCAUCAUUUCUCCAGUGGCAAUCUUGAGUCUUUCUACUUCCUUCUUUAGUGCUUCAUUCAGAGCAUCACGUAAUUGAGCCUGUUGCUCCAUAGCUUGUAACCG
rnacentral:misc_RNA from 1 species